rnacentral:rRNA from 1 species
CGACCGGCGCACGGUGAGUAACACCGUAUGCAACCUGGCCGUCACAGGUGGAUAACCGGAAGAAAUUCCGACUAAUACAGCAUAACACUCCUGAGGGACAUCCUUCGGGAGUCAAAGGAGGCAACUCCGGUGACGGAUGGGCAUGCGGCGCAUUAGGUAGUUGGUAGGGUAACGGCCUACCAAGCCGACGAUGCGUAGGGGUUCUGAGAGGAAGGUCCCCCACAUUGGAACUGAGACACGGUCCAAACUCCUACGGAAGGCAGCAG